rnacentral:rRNA from 1 species
UACGGGGGGGGGUAAGCGUUGUUCGGAAUUACUGGGCGUAAAGCGUAUGCAGGCGGAUCGUUAAGUCGGGGGUGAAAUCCCGAGGCUCAACCUCGGAACUGCCUUCGAUACUGGCGAUCUUGAGUCCGGGAGAGGUGAGUGGAACUCCGAGUGUAGAGGUGAAAUUCGUAGAUAUUCGGAAGAACACCAGUGGCGAAGGCGGCUCACUGGCCCGGUACUGACGCUGAGAUACGAAAGCGUGGGGAGCAAACAGG